AGCCCAUGAAGGAUGCUGGUAAGCCUGACGGCACAACAGGACGUAUAAUCAGUCAGCUGGCUUGUAAGAUAAGAGAGUAGUUUCACUUUCACUUCGUCUUUUUUGUUAAAAUGGAACCUAAGUCACAGCUCAGGGAGUGACACAGACCGCAUGUCUCCACGGCAGGUCAUACAAACCAGGGGAACUUAGUCGUGAAACAGCUGUCUAAAUCAGGGAUCGCCCUCGUCAUCAGUUUGACAUUGUUUAUCAUCUUCAUCGUUGUUGCUAUUGCACUGAAGAGACAGAGGUUAAAGAGAAACAAAAGGAAUGGAAAUGUUCUUUCAGUAACAUGUCAUAAUCCUGUCCUGUCACCGGGGCCUUGAAAGCACCUUCAAAGUAUGUAUUUAUUACAUGGAACCUGUUAGCAGACAACUAAGCUAUUAGACUUCUAUAUGAUAUUUAUUUUCCAAUGGAGUGCUGCAAUACUCUGUAGCACUUGACUCUCUCUCUCUCUCUCUCUCUCCCUGAUUUCUGACUCUAUCCACUUUAAGUUUGAGUUUUGAGCAGUUGACUUUAGCCUUGUCCAGGGUUCAAGUGACUGCAGCAGUGUGCAAUAGUUAAACUUGGCUUCAAGCUGCUUAUGCGGACAGUUAAAAAGAUGUGUUGUGGAUCUAAAACAAGAAACAUCCUGUCAAUGUCACACAGUGAGGCUAUACUGCCAUCUAGUGUGCUUUAUGGGGAACAACAGCGACCAAGAAAUGAGGAAAAUGAGCCGAAUACUGCUCCUCAACCAUAAACAUUUCAGUCUCUUUUUGUGUUUUUGCACUGGAAAUAGGCACUUUUAAAUGCAUUUAUUGAUUUAUAAGUGUGUAAUGUGAUUUACAUUAAUUUAAUUCAUUAGAUUGUAUAUUAAUGUUUAAAUGUAUGACUUGUUUAUGAUCAACAGUUUAGCACUUUUCUAGCACUGCAGCACUUCUUUGUUCAAUGUGUGUGUUCUCAUGUUAUUUAUAGUUCAAACCUCAAAUGCACAUUUGCUGUCUGUCUAUAAUUGCUGCAUUGUGCUACUUAAGGUAACUUGAAUAAUAUAAUAAUAAUAAUUAUAAUAUAUCGCAUUCGUUUGCAAACUAAUCAUGGCUGUGCAAUUAUAGAAUUACAGUGUUUUAAUCUCUGAGCUGACUAG